GAUGAACGCUGGCGGCGUGCCUAAUACAUGCAAGUCGAGCGAACGGACGAGAAGCUUGCUUCUCUGAUGUUAGCGGCGGACGGGUGAGUAACACGUGGAUAACCUACCUAUAAGACUGGGAUAACUUCGGGAAACCGGAGCUAAUACCGGAUAAUAUUUUGAACCGCAUGGUUCAAAAGUGAAAGACGGUCUUGCUGUCACUUAUAGAUGGAUCCGCGCUACAUUAGCUAGUUGGUAAGGUAACGGCUUACCAAGGCAACGAUGCAUAGCCGACCUGAGAGGGUGAUCGGCCACACUGGAACUGAGACACGGUCCAGACUCCUACGGGAGGCAGCAGUAGGGAAUCUUCCGCAAUGGGCGAAAGCCUGACGGAGCAACGCCGCGUGAGUGAUGAAGGUCUUCGGAUCGUAAAACUCUGUUAUUAGGGAAGAACAUAUGUGUAAGUAACUGUGCACAUCUUGACGGUACCUAAUCAGAAAGCCACGGCUAACUACGUGCCAGCAGCCGCGGUAAUACGUAGGUGGCAAGCGUUAUCCGGAAUUAUUGGGCGUAAAGCGCGCGUAGGCGGUUUUUUAAGUCUGAUGUGAAAGCCCACGGCUCAACCGUGGAGGGUCAUUGGAAACUGGAAAACUUGAGUGCAGAAGAGGAAAGUGGAAUUCCAUGUGUAGCGGUGAAAUGCGCAGAGAUAUGGAGGAACACCAGUGGCGAAGGCGACUUUCUGGUCUGUAACUGACGCUGAUGUGCGAAAGCGUGGGGAUCAAACAGGAUUAGAUACCCUGGUAGUCCACGCCGUAAACGAUGAGUGCUAAGUGUUAGGGGGUUUCCGCCCCUCAGUGCUGCAGCUAACGCAUUAAGCACUCCGCCUGGGGAGUACGACCGCAAGGUUGAAACUCAAAGGAAUUGACGGGGACCCGCACAAGCGGUGGAGCAUGUGGUUUAAUUCGAAGCAACGCGAAGAACCUUACCAAAUCUUGACAUCCUUUGACAACUCUAGAGAUAGAGCUUUCCCCUUCGGGGGACAAAGUGACAGGUGGUGCAUGGUUGUCGUCAGCUCGUGUCGUGAGAUGUUGGGUUAAGUCCCGCAACGAGCGCAACCCUUAAGCUUAGUUGCCAUCAUUAAGUUGGGCACUCUAAGUUGACUGCCGGUGACAAACCGGAGGAAGGUGGGGAUGACGUCAAAUCAUCAUGCCCCUUAUGAUUUGGGCUACGCACGUGCUACAAUGGACAAUACAAAGGGCAGCGAAACCGCGAGGUCAAGCAAAUCCCAUAAAGCUGUUCUCAGUUCGGAUUGUAGUCUGCAACUCGACUACAUGAAGCUGGAAUCGCUAGUAAUCGUAGAUCAGCAUGCUACGGUGAAUACGUUCCCGGGUCU
rnacentral:rRNA from 1 species